rnacentral:lncRNA from 1 species
AGAAAAAUAAAUAAAAUGGCCUUAUUACAACCCAAAACCAAACAAUAAUAUUAAUAAGAUAAAACUUAUAAAGAAAUAAAUUGGCUACUUAUUGAAUUAAAAGAAACAGAAACAGUAGUGUGGCCAUCUCCGAGUCCCUCGCAACUCCAAACCAUCUAAGCUUAGGGAUUACCUGCACAGUUAGAAAUGGGGUGAGUUUAUGAAAACUCAGUGUGUAAUCCCAAUAACAAACAAACAGUGAAAACACAGUAUCAGUACAAUUUGGGCCAAAGCCCUAUUUAGUCUUGACAUAUACUGGGUCGAAUCCCUUCGUUUAACAGUUACUGGAUCGAAGCCUUUUCAUAAAUUAUAUCACUGGGCCGAAGCCUUUUCAUAAAUCAUUUCACUGGGCCGAAGCCUUUACUGUAAACAAUAUGGCCCAUAGGCCCAUUUCAAUAUCACAUGUAAUGUCAAUGGAUGUAUGCAAGCCCAUUUCAAUAUCAUAUGAAAUACCAAUGAAUGUAUGCAAGCCCAUUUGGGGAGACUACUCGACCCACCAUCUGCUACUCUCCACCCGUACCAACCAACACACCAUGUGGGGAAUAACUCAACCCACCCAACCAACACACCACUGGCAGCAUAGCUGCUUUAUCAUAUAUCUGGAGGCCUAGCCUCUUUAAUAACUGGGGCAAAGCCCUUUUCGGUAAACUGAGGCAAAGCCCUUUUCAAUAAACUGGGGCAUAAGCCCUUUUCGGUAAACUGGGGCAUAAGCCCUUUUCGGUAAACUGGGGCAUAAGCCCUUUUCGGUAAACUGGGGCAUAAGCCCUUUUUGGUAAACUGGGGCAUAAGCCCUUUUGCACUUCCUCCAUCCAUAUAAAAACCCAACCCAAUGCAACAUGUCAUGUAUGCAGAAUGUCAUGCCCAUAUUUGAAUUAAACAAUCACAGUCAAGUCAUUCAUAUCACCAACAUAUAUUCACAAUCAAAUCCGUCAACCACACAGUCCAAGUCAGUCACUUGCCCACAAGGGCAAAACAGUCAUUUUUCACAUUAUAAGGGUAUUUUCGUAAUUUUACCAAAUAUCAGGGUUUUCCAUGUUCAUUACAAUUAUCAAUAUUUUCGAGUGUUUAAACAAUAAUCUUUAACCCACUUUAUCAAAUUCGGGCUUUUGGGCCCAAAACCCCUAAUGGGCCCUACGAAUGCUGAUUUAGCCUACUUAACCCAAAGUUUACAACAAUACUAACCGUGUUAACGUGCAACUUUUCCAAAUUCCAUUUUCUAUCAAUUCUACCCAAAUGGGUCCGAAAGUCCAUUGGGCCCAAUUUUAGCCCAUUGAGGCCCAACUUACCAUCGUGCACAAAAUUGAGUUCUUACCUGUUCCAUCGAUCCAAACACCGAUCUUAUCGUAUUUAUCGCAUCUAUAUCCAAACACAACAUUGCAAGUUCCUGAAAUACCGAUAUUUUAGCAUUUCGACUUCUCAGCAAAUAUUAAUCAAAGCUAUUACGAGGGUUAGUACACACCUGUUAUGGGUUGAAGUUGAAACGUUUCCAUAAUCAAUCACCUACGAUAACCACCACCUGUUACUCAAACUUAACUAAUCCAAUAUCAAUAUAUGUAAAUCCUAAGCCCAUCAGUCAUACAGAACAUAAGGGCAUAUUCGUCAUUCUACCAUACAGGGGUAUUACGGUCACUUUACCCUAUAGGGGCUUUACGAUUACUUUACCCUACAGAGGCUUUGCGGCCUUUUUAACUAAUAGGGGUAUUUUAGUCAUUUCAUCCUAUAAGGGUGUUUCGGUAAAUCUACAAACCAAGGGUAUUUCAGUAAUUUUGUAAACCAAUGGUAUUUCUAUAAUUUUUAGAAAGUCAAGGGUAUUUUUGUAAUUUUGUAAAUAGGGGUAUUUUGGUAAUUUUACAAAUUGAGGGUAUUUUGGUAAUUUCACAAACCAGUGGUAUUUUGGUAAUUUUACAAACUAGGGGUAUUUUGGUGAUUCUACCCUAUAGGGGUAUUUCAGUAAUUUCACAAUCGAGGGUAAAACAGUAAUUUCACAAUCGAGGGUAAAACAAUAAUUUUGUAAAUCAAGGGUAAAACAAUAAUUCUAUAAAUCGAGGGUACUUUGGUAAUUUUACAAGUCGAGGGCAUUUCUGUAAUUUGGUAAACUAAAGUAUUCUAAAUAGAGAUAACAAUACGAAUGGCCCUAAAGCCCAUUCUUAGCCCAAAUGGGCCCACACGCUCGUGUGGCCCUUUUAGCCCAAAUCUAGCCACAAAUAUGAGAUUCACCUAGCCUAGUCCAAUAUUUACUACACAAUCAAACAACUUAUCCAAUUGGGCCCGUAUGCCCAUUGGGCCCACAUAGCCCCUUUCGGCCCAUCGCGGCCCGAAGUAGCCAUCCUACAGCUAGAGUAGUGAGAAAUACACACCUGAUAGGAGACUGGAGUUAAUCCACGCUCCGAACACUCUUAGCCGAUGCCCAACCCAAACGAGCACGCCAUACAACGAAAGGGAUCAG